AUGGCGGUUACAAAAUUGAAAUUAUUCUGCCAUUAUUUUCCCAAAUCAUUCAUCCACUUCCACUUCCACUCUUUCCAUAUUCAUCAGCGGUUAUUGAAAUCAUGGUUUCAAAAAAUGUUUCGACGAUCUCUCAAUGACGGUCCAAGAUGUUUGAUGGUGAGAUGUCCUGAUCCCUCUUGUGGUGCUGCUAUUGAUAAAGAUAUGAUUGAUCUUUUAGUAUUUCACAAAGAUAAAGAGAAGUAUGAUUGUUACCUUCUUAGAUCUUACAUUGAAGAUAAUAAGAAGGUAUAUGCUGCAUCAAGAUGGUGUCGAUGCAUGCUAAUGUGA